rnacentral:rRNA from 1 species
UGACGAGUUUGAUCCUGGCUCAGAGUGAACGCUGGCGGCGUGCCUAACACAUGCAAGUCGAACGAUGAAGAGCAGCUUGCUGCUCGGAUUAGUGGCGCACGGGUGAGUAAUGCAUAGAUAAUGUGCCCCUUAGUUCGGGAUAGCCACUGGAAACGGUGAUUAAUACCGGAUACUCCUUCUUGCCUCAAGGUAAGUCGGGAAAGUUUUUCGCUAAGGGAUCAGUCUAUGUUCCAUCAGGUAGUUGGUGAGGUAAUGGCUCACCAAGCCUAUGACGGAUAUCUGGUUUGAGAGGAUGAUCAGACACACUGGAACUGAGACACGGUCCAGACUCCUACGGGGAGCAGCAGUGA